GCCUGGCUGGCUCAGUCAGUGGAGCAUGUGACACUUGAUCUCACAGGGUUGUGGGUUCAAGUCCCACAUUGGGCA
rnacentral:tRNA from 1 species